GGGUUGUGAGGUUAAGCGACUAAGCGUACACGGUGGAUGCCCUGGCAGUCAGAGGCGAUGAAGGACGUGCUAAUCUGCGAUAAGCGUCGGUAAGGUGAUAUGAACCGUUAUAACCGGCGAUUUCCGAAUGGGGAAACCCAGUGUGUUUCGACACACUAUCAUUAACUGAAUCCAUAGGUUAAUGAGGCGAACCGGGGGAACUGAAACAUCUAAGUACCCCGAGGAAAAGAAAUCAACCGAGAUUCCCCCAGUAGCGGCGAGCGAACGGGGAGCAGCCCAGAGCCUGAAUCAGUGUGUGUGUUAGUGGAAGCGUCUGGAAAGGCGCGCGAUACAGGGUGACAGCCCCGUACACAAAAAUGCACAUGCUGUGAGCUCGAUGAGUAGGGCGGGACACGUGGUAUCCUGUCUGAAUAUGGGGGGACCAUCCUCCAAGGCUAAAUACUCCUGACUGACCGAUAGUGAACCAGUACCGUGAGGGAAAGGCGAAAAGAACCCCGGCGAGGGGAGUGAAAAAGAACCUGAAACCGUGUACGUACAAGCAGUGGGAGCCUCUUUUAUGGGGUGACUGCGUACCUUUUGUAUAAUGGGUCAGCGACUUAUAUUCUGUAGCAAGGUUAACCGAAUAGGGGAGCCGAAGGGAAACCGAGUCUUAACUGGGCGUUAAGUUGCAGGGUAUAGACCCGAAACCCGGUGAUCUAGCCAUGGGCAGGUUGAAGGUUGGGUAACACUAACUGGAGGACCGAACCGACUAAUGUUGAAAAAUUAGCGGAUGACUUGUGGCUGGGGGUGAAAGGCCAAUCAAACCGGGAGAUAGCUGGUUCUCCCCGAAAGCUAUUUAGGUAGCGCCUCGUGAAUUCAUCUCCGGGGGUAGAGCACUGUUUCGGCAAGGGGGUCAUCCCGACUUACCAACCCGAUGCAAACUGCGAAUACCGGAGAAUGUUAUCACGGGAGACACACGGCGGGUGCUAACGUCCGUCGUGAAGAGGGAAACAACCCAGACCGCCAGCUAAGGUCCCAAAGUCAUGGUUAAGUGGGAAACGAUGUGGGAAGGCCCAGACAGCCAGGAUGUUGGCUUAGAAGCAGCCAUCAUUUAAAGAAAGCGUAAUAGCUCACUGGUCGAGUCGGCCUGCGCGGAAGAUGUAACGGGGCUAAACCAUGCACCGAAGCUGCGGCAGCGACGCUUAUGCGUUGUUGGGUAGGGGA
rnacentral:rRNA from 1 species